ACUAGGCAAGCACUUGCGGCGCCGGGCGUCUCCGCGUCCCUCUGCUCCAGCAGGCGGCCGCGACGGUGGAGCUUGGCCUCUCGCUCUCUCCCGCCUCCCGCAGCGACUGCUCUGCUCUGCCAGGCGCGGAGGUCGGAUCGAGAGGUCAUUCAUUCAUUUCUUAAUUUGUUCACUUAUUCAGGAGAGAUCAUUGAACCCGUACGGAGUACCGGGUACUGGGCCAGGCGCUGAGGACGCGGGGCUAAGCGAAAGCAGCUGAGGCCCGCCUUCGUGCCCCUUAAAAUCCAGCGUGCGGGGCGGCAACGAGCACUGCUUUUCUGUUUUGCACUUAAAAUUUGCAUUUUGCAUCUGUACUUUUUAUUUACUGUGCACCCUUACGGCGUGCUUUAUGCACCCGUGCCUGCACCUCCUAGCCUUGAGUGUAGAACACCAGAUGGGCGAUUUUUCGAGAAUAAUUUUUACCCUAAGUGGAUUUUCGUGCCACGCAUGGACUUGGAACUACACACACGUAGUCAAAAAUGUGAAAGUCAAAAUGCAGCUUUGCCAAGUGGCAGGGAGAAAGGAGAGCUGCGAAGAUGGGGAGAGGAAGGGAGCGCUCCAGGUGUUACAGGCCGAGUGCAGGAGAUUUAGCCCUGCAGGAUGAACGCGGGCUGGUAGCCGGGCGGCGGGAGGGCGGGCGGACCUGUCCGUCAAGUACAAAGCAGAAACGCGGCUCCGGACCCCAGGCAGAGGCCGGCUGGAACAUUUACCACUGGCUCCCGGCGCUCUGGUCCCCACUGGGCGACCUUGAACCUGGCGUGAUCAGUGGAGUCAGCGCAGCCUCGGGAGCUGGAGAGACGCGGGGCGCCGGCGGAGUGCUCCUGCCUUGGGCCUCGGGGCUAGCCUCUGGUCCGGCCUGCCGGCCGCCCCCAGGGUACGCUCUCCCCCACGCGGGUACACCAGCUUUGGGAUCGCCAGCAGCCAUGUCUCUGCUUCUAGAUCUCUUUUUUUUCUUUAAGACUUAGUUGAUAGCUGUUUAAGGAAUUAUGUAGAGGAAGUCUCACCUCCGACCGCCGCCUCCGUUGAGCACGGCCGGGGUCACUGGGUGGGCCAGGAGGAAAGGAAGGGGCGAGGAGGAAGCAGCAAUUUUACUUUAAAUAAAUAUGACACAAAAAUAUUUUUUCAACUCAGAUCUUUCUGAGACAUCCCCAGAAAGCGUUGCCAGCUGUGAUUACACCUAAUGUGAGAGCAUGAACUAAUUUAAGAGGUGAGAGCUGAAUAAUGAGGCAGCAUCCCGUGUAGCGGCCAAGACUGGCGGCUCUGGCAGCGUGCUGGAGGGGACCGGGAGGGGCACCCUUGUAGAACCAGCCCCUGGUGCCCCGGGGUCUUCUCAGUGCCCUAGCGCUGUGCUGUCGGUCACUCCACAGAUAUUUACUGGGUGUCUCCUGAAUGCCGGGUUGCAAUCAAGAGCAAGAGAUGGGGCGAGUGAAAGAGCCUGUUUUCAGGAGCUCACGGAGCAGGGUUACGAUUACUGAGAGGGAGGUGGUGGCCAGCCUCUCCCUCUUCUCUUCAUGCUGAGGCUCUGGUGGGCAGUGCCCAAGUCUGAACUGCCAUCUGUAUGCCAGUGGUUACCCAUCUUGUAUUUCCAGUCUUAGCCUCUCUCUGGUCCAGACUUGUCAUUCUAAGGGCCCUGUUUCACUGACUCACACUGUCUCCUCCCUCCCUGCCUUCCACACUCAGCCCUUCCUUUUUCCCUUUCCCACUGACAACAGCUGCACCCACCCAGAGCUGAAAACUCUCAAGAACCCCAUGUCUAACCUAACUCCCUCUCUAUGCCCUGUUGCUUGAGCCAUUCUCAUUAGGCUGAUUGUUAGGAGUUCAUUAUCUCCUAAUUUUUCAUCCAGGAACUGAAGAAUCACCUCCUGCCUCUCCCAUAUAGUGUUUAUUCUUUCAUUUGAUGAUAUCUGUUAAGUGCCCUGAGAUAUGUAACCUCCACUUCCCUCCCAUAUAAGUGAGAUUUCACAUUGAUUGCUCCCUUGGCUUUCCCCAUCGCUUGUCCACAUAGUAUGUGUUCAAAAUAAUGAACAUUAAUUUAAUGUUAAUAGACAUGUGCUUUUUUGAAUUGUGAGGAUUAAAUGAAAUCAUGUGUCUAGGGAGGAAAAUCCAUUAGAAACCUCAAAAGCAGUCAUGUUUAUUUUUGCUAUUGUCACAUUGUUAGAGUCAGAAUUCUUUUAGCUGCAAGUGACAAAACCGACUCAAAUUGGCUUAAGGACUUUACUUGGUUGAUGCAAAAAGCCUCGGGUUAGGUCCUGCCAUUUAAGGUAGGGCUGGAUCCGUCAAUCGGGUUACCAGGAUCUGUUUUCUAGUUGUGGCUUCAUUUUCAAACAAGUUGUUUCCAUAUGAUAGCCUCCUAGAAGGUACUACCAGCUUAGUCCUAGCAAGAAAAAAGAGUACUUAUUCUUCAAUAUUUGCAGCAGAAGUCCCAGGUCUGUCCUUAUGAAGGCAGAUUGAGUCGCUUGCUCUUCUCUGAAUGUGGAGAAGGGACUGUUUAGAUAACUGAAGUUGGAUUCAGGUGCAUCCCCUGGAAUGGGGUUUGGCAUUAACUUCACGUGGUCUAGAAUAAAGGGGUUCUCCAAAGGAAAAUUAGGGUAGGAAUGCUGAGCAAGCAGAACCAACAGAUAUCUACUUUAGUCCUUCCCAAAGGGUGAGCUGCAAUACAUUGCACACCAUCAGAAUGGUGAUGAAGACGGAUACAGUAGCCAAGACAAUAGAUGUGCGUUUGUCAUGGUCUUUUUCAGUCUUCAAGACCUCAGCUAAACAUGAAGUCAACCACUCACUAUGAUGUUAUUUGAGGUUUAGCUUUGAAGUGUAAAUGUACCACAAAUAGUAGAGCCAGAUAAAUAUAAAUAAAUAAUGUUAACAGUCGACUCUAAAAGAUUUCUUUGGUAACAUUCUGUUGGAAUUGGUUUCUAUCUUUUCAUUUGUUAGGUUCCUGGAAAGUGAAAUUUUCAUUUCUUUGUGGACAGGCACCUAAAACAUCUCAUAAUUCAUCAAUUAAUGAAAAGCAAAUGAAAAUUUGAGAGAGAUAUUCUGAAGAAUAAAAGGAUCAAGUUGGGUCAUUUCUAAAAUGGCCUGUGCCUACUGUAAAGAUGACGCACACAUGAUGUCUGCCUUGCCGGAGUUGGUGUUUAGCGAUAAUAAGAGAUGCAUACCUGAAAAGCCUAUUUAAGACUCUUCCAGUUCUACAAAGAAGGCUUCUUGAAAGUGACGGAGUCUUGCUCUGUCGCCCAGGCUGGAGUGCAGUGG